rnacentral:tRNA from 5 species
GGGGUGAUAGCUCAGCUGGUUAGAGCGUCUGCCUGUCACGCAGAAGGUCGCGGGUUCGAGUCCCGUUCAUCCCGCCA